AACGAACGCUGGCGGCAUGCCUAACACAUGCAAGUCGAACGGGAUCCUAGCUUGCUAGGUGAGAGUGGCGGACGGGUGAGUAACACGUGGGAAUCUGCCUUUUGGUUCGGGAUAACCGCGGGAAACUGCGGCUAAUACCGAAUGCCCUCGAGAGAGGAAAGAUUUAUCGCCAGAAGAGGAGCCCGCGUCCGAUUAGGUAGUUGGUGGGGUAAAGGCCUACAAGCCGACGAUCGGUAGCUGGUCUGAGAGGAUGAUCAGCCACACUGGGACUGAGAUACGGCCCAGACUCCUACGGGAGGCAGCAGUGGGAAUAUUGGACAAUGGGGG
rnacentral:rRNA from 1 species